AACUUUAUAAACAACAAUAACUAUAAAUUAUAAUAAUAAUCGUGUAUUUUAAACAAAAAAAAUAUAGGUAUAAUACAGGGAUGUCCGGAAGGGGGCCAUUACUCCCCUCCUCCCCGCCUGAGAUUUUUCGUGUCAGUUACUAAAUUUAGAAUAAAUCAGACACAAACAGACAACAGUGCGACUUUUUCGACUCUUCUACUUAACUGGAUCACUGAAUAAGUAGAAAGACGGGAAGAGUGGCAGAGUGUACUGACACAACGAGUAUCGAUAUUCACGAACAGGUGGCAACGUCUAAAAAUUGACUUGGUGACGUCCUACGAAACCAAAUUCAUAAAGAUGACUACCUAUCGGAAAUACAAAAUAUAGAAUAUAAACAAUAAUGGAGAGCGUAACGUAAAUUUGAGUUGAAAAUACAAUUUAGACGACAGUAAAUAAAUUAUAGUACCUAUACUACAACACCUCAGUUAAGCGUAAAUCAAUAUUGUAUAUUUUGCCGACAACAUCUCCAAUUAAAAUACGAAAAAAUAAUUUAAUAAUAAAAAAAAAAAAAAAACGUCAAUGUUUGGUGAUCGAUUUAUUGAAUGAGUUUUAAGCUUUUAAAAAGUCACCAUCCUGCUGUGUGGAAUUUGGGAUAUUCUAAAAUAUUGUUGUCGUAUUGAUGAAAAUAAUAAUAUAAAAAUAAAAAAAUGAGAAAGGAAAUCCGAUUUUUUUUGCUCCAAAAUUAUCUUCUACGUCUUGCUGUACACACGUAUAGAAUUUCAGGAAAAGGACAACUAUGAAGAUAGAGUGGCAAUUGGUGUCGAGUCGAAAAAUGAUUUCAGUAAUGCGCACCGCUGAGAACACUAGCCGACAGUACCCCACUUUCAAUAAAUAUUUCCUCUACGAACGAAAACCCUUAUAACCGUGAUUUGAAAAUUGUUAAAACAGUCGAACACAUAAAACCACUCCAUAUUAUAUUGAUGUAUAAGGUCAGUCGGUUAUUUGUGGCUGUAAUGCGAAUACUA